CAAUAGCGUAUAUUAAAGUUGUUGCAGUUAAAAAGCUCGUAGUUGGAUCUGUGGUGUGCGGUGGGCUCCGGGCACUUGUUGUCUGAGUAGCUCGCCGCUGCCAUCCUUGGGUGGAACCUGUGUGGCAUUAGGUUGUCGUGCAGGGGAUGCCCAUCGUUUACUGUGAAAAAAUUAGAGUGUUCAAAGCAGGCUUAUGCCGUUGAAUAUAUUAGCAUGGAAUAAUGAGAUAGGACUUUUUCGCUAUUUUGUUGGUUUGCGCGAAGAGGUAAUGAUUAAUAGGGACAGUUGGGGGUAUUCGUAUCCCAUUGUCAGAGGUGAAAUUCUUGGAUUUUUGGAAGACGAACUACUGCGAAAGCAUUUACCAAGGAUGUUUUCAUUAA
rnacentral:rRNA from 1 species